rnacentral:rRNA from 1 species
UACGGAGGAUGCGAGCGUUAUCCGGAUUUAUUGGGUUUAAAGGGUGCGUAGGCGGACUGUCAAGUCAGCGGUAAAAUUGAGAGGCUCAACCUCUUCCCGCCGUUGAAACUGGUGGUCUUGAGUGGAUGAGAAGUACGCGGAAUGCGUGGUGUAGCGGUGAAAUGCAUAGAUAUCACGCAGAACUCCGAUUGCGAAGGCAGCGUACCGGCAUCCAGCUGACGCUGAGGCACGAAAGCGUGGGGAUCAAACAGG